rnacentral:rRNA from 1 species
UACAGAGGUCUCAAGCGUUGUUCGGAUUCAUUGGGCGUAAAGGGUGCGUAGGCGGCGCGGUAAGUCGGGUGUGAAAUCUCGGAGCUUAACUCCGAAACUGCAUUCGAUACUGCCGUGCUUGAGGACUGGAGAGGAGACUGGAAUUUACGGUGUAGCGGUGAAAUGCGUAGAUAUCAAGAGGACCACCUGCGGCGAAGGCGGGUUGCUGGGCCGACACUGACGCUGAGGCGCGAAAGCUAGGGGAGCGAACGGG